UUGCUUGCUAACCCAAGCACUUGCCUU
rnacentral:piRNA from 1 species